rnacentral:lncRNA from 1 species
GUUGGAGUAGUUGAGAGCAUGGGUUGUGGCUUUUGCUCUUGUAUCGCGACAUAAGACGCUUACUAUGUAUUGUGCCCUAUGUGCUAAACAUGUGAACUUUAGUGCUUGCAACUUGUUAAGUUACUGUUGGUUUAUGGUUCUUGUUCCUUUAAAUUUCCUUAAUAUCAUGCUUCAUUUGUGCAAGUUAUAUCAUGUUCAUUUAAUUUAUUGCUUGCUGAAAUUUCUGUUUGGGCCAAUCUAAUUGCUUAGAACGAUGUGACGAAGCGUCAUAUUGCAUCCAUACAUUGCCUACAUGUUAAUGUACAUAUGGGUUAUCUUUUGGAGCCAUUUUAUCAUAAUUUUCUUGCUGUUUUGAUGUCCAAAACUCAGCCUAAACUCAGUGGCAUACUUGUUGUCAAAAAUCUGUCAAUACUACCUUUAUCCCUUCUAACACUCUAUACACGUGUUGUUCUCUAAUGUUUUCGACCCCCAUCCAAUGACAAGAUGAACCGUUUGGGCCUUGAGCAUGGUGAAUCCUCAAGCGGGGAUAAUCUUCC